rnacentral:misc_RNA from 1 species
CUUCUGAGGCUUUUCUUUAACAUUGUUUCUGCUAAAUUUCUUCCACACAAAAUUCAUAUUAUCAAAGUUAAUGCUUCUCUCCCUUCUUUUUCUGAUCGUCUCCUUUCCCUUUAGACCAUUAGCAUGCAAGCUUUGAUUUUCUAAUCCAUCUAGAAAAUCGCUCCUCUUUUCUCUGUCUCUCUGUCCAAAAUCCAGCAUGGUUCUGAUUUUCUUGUAAAAAUAAAGAUUUAUUAGGGUUUUUGAUCUGGGUUUGGUUCACUAUGAAGGGUUGUUCAAUUCAUAGUCGAAAGAUUGCUGCUUUACUCGGAGUAUCAACUGGUAUUAUAUGGGUUUGUUUAGUUUCUUCUGUAAUUGGUGAAGACGAUGUGAAGUGCGUGCAAGGUGUUAAGACUUCGCUUAGCGACCCCCAAGGGAAGCUCAGCUCCUGGAACUUCGCCAACUCAUCAUCUGGAUUCCUCUGCAACUUUGUCGGUGUUUCUUGUUGGAAUGAUCAAGAAAACAGGAUUAUCAGCCUCCAAUUACGCGACAUGAAGCUGUCUGGACAAUUCCCUGAGUCCUUAAAGAACUGUAAGAGCCUGCAAACUUUGGAUCUUUCAUCUAAUGCUCUAUCUGGUCCGAUUCCUACUCAGAUAUGUACCUGGCUGCCUUAUUUAGUUACUCUUGAUCUAUCCAAUAAUGA